rnacentral:rRNA from 1 species
UACGUAGGUGGCAAGCGUUAUCCGGAAUUAUUGGGCGUAAAGCGCGCGCAGGUGGUUUCUUAAGUCUGAUGUGAAAGCCCACGGCUCAACCGUGGAGGGUCAUUGGAAACUGGGAGACUUGAGUGCAGAAGAGGAAAGUGGAAUUCCAUGUGUAGCGGUGAAAUGCGUAGAGAUAUGGAGGAACACCAGUGGCGAAGGCGACUUUCUGGUCUGUAACUGACACUGAGGCACGAAGGCCAGGGGAGCAAACGGG